GUGCCCGUUACCCAUGUAGGAACGGCCAAAGUUACCAAGAAUCUUAUACUACAUGAUGUUUGUUGUGUUCCCAAUUUUUCCUUUAAUCUAAUUUCAGCAAAGAAAAUGUCUCAAGAACUAAAUUGUUGCCUUGUUUUCUUCUUUGAUUGCUGCUAUAUUCAGGAUCUUUUGACUUGGACAACAACUGGCAUGGGGGAAGUGAAGCAAGGACUCUAUCAUAUGCUGCAAAAGGAAGUCUCUCCUUCAGCUCUAUCUGAUGCUUUAUCCAAAUACAACCUUAAAACCAGUCUUUCAGCCUCUGUCAGCAAUAAUAGUGAGUUUUUCGACCUGUGGCAUUAUAGAUUAGGCUAUUCUUCUUACUCUCAAUUUGACAUAGAUAACAAUGUCAGCAUAUUAAAACCAUCUGAUGAUCACCCCUGUCUCAUUUGUCCCUUAGCUAAACAACACAAGCUACCAUUUCCUACUAGUCAACAUCAAUCCAAGAAAUGUUUUGAACUGAUACAUUGUGAUAUAUGAG
rnacentral:lncRNA from 1 species